CUGCGGAAACAAUUGUACAGUUACUUUAAUACCAUGAUUUUAUAUUUAAAUACAAUACAGAGGUUUUUACAAGAAAAAAUGACUACUUAUAGCUCUGAACCGGAUGAAUAUUGGCGCUAUGAAGGAGAAACAGUGCGUAACAGAGGCUAUUAACUAUUCUUACUUCAGCAAGGACGCAAAAGGUGACAAAUACAGUGACCAUAAACAUAACCACAAGACUGAGUUUCCUGUUAUGAACAUAAAAUGUUUUCCUCUAAAAAACAAAGGAACUUACAGAAUACAGCUUUGAAUUCCUCGUUGUCACAAAAUGUUUAUACCAUCAACGGAUCGUCUAUGACUUUUUUCAAUUACAGUAGGCAAGGCAGUGACUAGGCUAUACCAAGCGACUGAAGUAUUUAUCAUGUUUGGCAUGUCGGCCUUAGGCCUACUGGAAAAGUCUUCAAAAACCCAAGAUUUGAUGAAGACUCGACCAAAAUGUGAUGUGUUCCAUUUAGGGUUUACUUUAAUUUUGUUAUAAUACUCUAUUGUUUGGGAAGUGCAUAAAAGCUUUUGCAUAAUAUGCUAUAUAAAUGUAAAGUUAAUUAAUAUUAUUUAUUUAUUUAAUAUUAUCAUCAACCUCAUCAUCAUUAUCAUCCUCAUAUAUUCAUUAUCAUUACUAUAAUUAUUAUUAGUAUUAUUAUUAUCAUUAUUAACAUCAUCAAUAAUAAUAAUAUUGUAGAUAAUUUUAAAACUGUUGUUCCAACAUAAUAAUUUCCACUUACUGUAGAAGUUUUCGAAACAGGAAAUUGAAAAAACAAAACAAUUAAAAUACACUCACAGUUUUGUUAAAACUGCGUUUUUAAAUCAUUUAAAUUUACGAUUUUUCUUAUUUAAAAUAUAUUUGUUCAUUCUCACAAGAUAAUGUAAUUAGCCCUUCAGCAUAGAGUAGGCUACAAAGAUGCAAGACUUCGCAAAUGGUCGUGAGAAAAAUGAUCAUGGUAUUUGGGUAGAUUUAAAUACAGGACACUGGGAAUAAAGCCGGGUACUCAUCGUCGACCGAAGCAAUUCCAUUGAUUACGCAACACGACAAGGUGCGCGCAACGGAUCGUUUUUAAAAAUCCGCUCAGUCUCCCAUCGACAUUUAACAGACGGCUUCAUGCCGUCAAGCGCUCACGAGGAGUACAGAUGGAUUUGUCUGCUGAACGAUGAAGCACGACGAAGUGUGUGUCGGGCUUUUGAACUUUUCGUUGAUUAGGCCUAGGCCUAUAUAUACUUCACUUACAUAUAAGGGGUUUAAUCAGUAAUAUGCUCUUUACAGAACGCUUACAUUCAUGUUGCUGAAUUAUUUUUUGCGUUUCUUAGCCAGAGUGAAGACCUUUAGACUGUUAUAAUACUGUAAAAUUAUUGUAUAUAUUAAUUAUAACAUUAUUAAGCCUUGCUAUAGUGUAGGUCUAGGCAUAUUAUAUUUCAUUGACUCCAUUUAUAAAACUGUGUCACGAAUGAAUAAAUCAUAAUACCAAGAA